CCUAUUACUCAGAUCAUGGGCCAGUUUUGUGGCUUAUAUGGUUAUAUCAUGGUUAUAUCUGAUCAUUAUCGCUUGGGUGCUUAGACUUGAAUAAUGUAUGAUCAGAUGAAACCAGAUGGAACUGGAUAAGACAGGUCCAAACCAAAGUUGGGGCAGGUUUAUACUGCCUAGAUACUUGAAUGUGGCAUUUUGUACAAAGUUUUACCUACCGGUAGAUCUGUUUCUUAAAAGAGUAUCUUGUUUAUAAAGAGUGGCAUGACUAAAGUUGUAUGAUCGGGUUAAGACUAGACCGAACUGGAUAGAACCGGUCAAAACCAACAUCCAGGCAGGUAUAUUGGCUCCGUGCGCCAACAAAAGAAGGCGUGUUUUUACCUCUUUUGAGAGCUCCGUGGACGGGACACACAGCUUGCGUGUACUGUACUCUACUGGUUCGUGCGCGAAGUACGCAUGACUUCCUGAAUGUGCAAAAGUUGAACCACCGCGUCUUCGCGCAAGCGUCGGGCGUUGUCGGCGCGUGAAUACGUUCGAAUUCAACUGGCGAUGGUCUCCAAGACUAAUCGCUGCCUCCAAUAACUUUGGGUACAUUGUAAAUAUGCAGAGGAUGGCUUGGGAACCAGUCUAGGUCUCCCCCAACUCUCCUGUUCUGGCCGUUGAUGGGUACUUGUGCUCGGAGCCCAUACAUUCAUAUUGUCUCAUUACAUGACAUUUUCAAUAGUCUUACCCAAUCUCUUAUAGUAAUUUUUUUUCAAAGAGUGGCAGGACUCUUGAGUGAAGUGCUAUCAACACUAGUGCAUAAACGACCGCUUCUGAGACAAUUGAUAGCUAGAUUUUUCACACACCUUAUGGGGUGAGAGUGUGACACAACAAAAACAUGAUUUUGUACACACAAUUUUAAAAAGGUGGAAUGCAUGUCAGACGUAGAAAUCAUGCUUUAAAUCAAAGUUUUAUGUAAAUGAAGUAACUGUAAUAAAACUUUCAAAUGGUGUCUAUACCUUCGCACUCGCAAUAUUUGGGAUAGCCUUGGUCAGAGCGUUCGUCAUUAUUCGUCGGUACGUGGUAAACGAUUGGCGGCACAUCCUCGUUAUGCAGUGCUUUAAAAUUAAAGUGAGAACAGCGACCUCAUGCGGCCACUAUUUCAUGCAAAUCAUUUGGAUCCAGACGAACGCCUUGGUUCAAUCGUCCCUGUGAGGUUUUGGGGGUGGUGCUUUUUAUGCUAAUAGCCUAAGCUGAACUUAAAAGUCGUUUUCUUGUUGGUUGGUCGUUGCGUGGAAACUUGCAUAUGGUUAGCGAGCGGUACUGGCAUGUACUGUACAUAAUAAAUACACACACGUUGUUUGUCCAUGUCUCACAUUAUACACAGCACCAACGCACACAAAAUGUGGUUUCUGACACGUCAGCAAAGGGCAAAUACCGGGUGGCUGCAAAUGAUUUGAUGACGUUGAGAUUUACCAAGGUGUGAUUGGACACUCCACAUAUGAGCCCCGCCUACACCUAUCUGUAUUCGCAUAUGAGCUCGUGCGCUAGAAAUCUAGCGCAAAAUAAAGAAAAACAUGAGCUUUUGCAGACAAUUGGAGCAAGGUGUUCAUCAAAAUCCAAAUGAUUUGCAUAAAAUAGUGGCUGCAUGAGGUCGAUGUUCGCGCUGUUACAUGUUUUUAACGCACUGCCUAACGAGGAUAGGUAUGCUGCCGAUCGUUUACCGCGUACGGACGAAUAAUGAUCGAUGAACGCCUUGACCAAGGCUAUAUUUGGGAUUGUUUCUGGCACACGUCCAACUUUGCUACUUACUGUAUGUACAGUUUAGGUUUAAAGAGACAUGGAUUUCUUAGCGUGUGUCCAAAAUCAUGACAAGGAUUAUUGUAGAUUUAUAGUCAAAUCACCUGCAACUCAACUCACGCAUUUUAAUUUACUUCACUAAUCUUUAAUUAACAACCUUAAACUGAAGUCUGAUGAGGAUGCAAAAUAGUUUGGGCAACAUCAGCUCCCCUGCAGAUCUGUACACUUUCUGAUUGGUUACAAGGCUCAGUUGAUAUGGCAAGUGUUCAAAAUUUCUCCUUUUCUUUAUAGAAGCAUGUGUGGUAUUUAUGAAAUAUUUAACAAAUAAAUAGGUGAACUAAUCUACUGAAUAUUA